AAUCAACGCUGGCGGCGUGCCUCAGACAUGCAAGUCGAACGAUUAAAGCUCUCUUCGGAGAGUGUAUAGAGUGGCGCACGGGUGAGUAACACGUAAGUAAUCUACCUUUGAGUGGGGAAUAACAGUCGGAAACGACUGCUAAUACCGCAUAAUGCAGCGGCAUCGCAAGAUGACAGUUGUUAAAGGAGCAAUCCGCUUAAAGAGGAGCUUGCGGCAGAUUAGCUAGUUGGUAAGGUAAUGGCUUACCAAGGCUACGAUCUGUAUCCGGUCUAAGAGGACGGUCGGACACACUGACACUGAAUAACGGGUCAGACUCCUACGGAGGCAGCAGUCGGGAAUUUUGGGCAAUGGGCGAAAGCCUGACCCAGCAACGCCGCGUGAAGGAUGAAGUAUUUCGGUAUGUAAACUU
rnacentral:rRNA from 1 species